rnacentral:rRNA from 1 species
AGGAAAAGCCACUAAGCUUCAGCUACACACGACCGUACCGCAAACCGACACUGGUGCGCGAGAUGAGUAUUCUAAGGCGCUUGAGAGAACUCGGGAGAAGGAACUCGGCAAAUUGACACCGUAACUUCGGAAGAAGAUGUGCCUUUAGUAGGUGAACCUGUACAAGGGGAGCCCAAUGAGGUUGCAAAAAAUCGGUGGCUGCGACUGUUUAAUAAAAACACAGCACUCUGCAAACACGAAAGUGGACGUAUAGGGUGUGACGCCUGCCCGGUGCUGGAAGAUUAAAUGAUGGGGUGCAAGCUCUUGAUUGAAGUCCCAGUAAACGGCGGCCGUAACUAUAACGGUCCUAAGGUAGCGAAAUUCCUUGUCGGGUAAGUUCCGACCUGCACGAAUGGCGUAACGAUGGCCACACUGUCUCCUCCCGAGACUCAGCGAAGUUGAAAUGUUUGUGAUGAUGCAAUCUCCCCGCGGAAAGACGGAAAGACCCCAUGAACCUUUACUGUAGCUUUGUAUUGGACUUUGAACAGAUCUGUGUAGGAUAGGUGGGAGGCUUUGAAGCAGGGUCGCUAGAUCUUGCGGAGCCAACGUUGAAAUACCACCCUGGUGUGUUUGAGGUUCUAACCUAGGCCCGUAAUCCGGGUCGGGGACAGUGCAUGGUAGGCAGUUUGACUGGGGCGGUCUCCUCCCAAAGCGUAACGGAGGAGUUCGAAGGUACGCUAGUUACGGUCGGACAUCGUGACGAUAGUGCAAUGGCAUAAGCGUGCUUAACUGCGAGACUGACAAGUCGAGCAGAUGCGAAAGCAGGACAUAGUGAUCCGGUGGUUCUGUAUGGAAGGGCCAUCGCUCAACGGAUAAAAGGUACUCUGGGGAUAACAGGCUGAUACCGCCCAAGAGUUCAUAUCGACGGCGGUGUUUGGCACCUCGAUGUCGGCUCAUCUCAUCCUGGGGCUGUAGCCGAUCCCAAGGGUAUGGCUGUUCGCCAUUUAAAGAGGUACGUGAGCUGGGUUUAAAACGUCGUAGACAGUUUGGUCCCUAUCUUCCGUGGGCGCUGCAGAUUUGAAGAAGCCUGCUCCUAGUACGAGAGGACCGGAGUGGACGCACCUCUGGUGUAUCGGUUGUCACGCCAGUGGCAUUGCCGAGUAGCUAUGUGCGGAAGAGAUAACCGCUGAAAGCAUCUAAGCGGGAAACUCGUUCUAAGAUGAGAUCUGCCGGGGCCUUGAGCCCCCUGAAGAGUCGUUCAAGACCAGGACGUUGAUAGGUCAGGUGUGGAAGCGCAGUAAUGCGUUAAGCUAACUGAUACUAAUUGCUCGUGCGGCUUGACCCU